rnacentral:lncRNA from 1 species
GACAAGAUGAUCUUGAAGGUCCCUUCCAACCUAGAAGAUUCUGUGAUUCUGUGAUUCUGUCCCAUCCAGAUCCAUGAGCAUGGUCUUCUUCUGCAGCAUGGAGACCACUCAGAGCUGGGCUUCUGGCAGAGCUGGAGUAAUACCACUUUGGGAAAGGAGGGGGGCAGUUUUCACAGGGCUGUUUUCUCCACAGAGUGCCCGGAGGGGACGUUCGGGGCGGGCUGCCGGGGGUCCUGCCCCUGUGGGGGAGCACCCUGCGACCGGAGCUCGGGGCAGUGCCUCUGCCCCCCCGGCCGGACCGGACACGACUGUGGUCAAGGUGAGGAGGCAACAGCAGCACAUGCCCCGAGCUUGCCCUGAUGGCCUCUGGGGACUGGGCUGCCAGGAGAUCUGUCCUGAGUGUGCCAACAACGCCAGCUGCCACCCGGCCACCGGGACCUGCCUGUGUCCCCCCGGCUACACGGGCUCCCGCUGCCAGGAUGGUGAGUGCUCUCUGUCCCUGGGUCCCUCACGGCCAUCUCCAGCUGGGAUGAGAGGUUCUCCCGUGCACCUGGAGAACCUGCUGUCACCAGCAGAGCAUCCAGGUACCCACCAGGCACCACGGCACUCAUCAGAGCCUGUGCACGGUGCGGGUGUCUCACACUGUGGGACACGGGCUGGGUUGACAUCCCUCUAGUCCUGUCUUCAGUGGUAGCUUUUCCAUGGGUGGAAAGGGAGAUAAAACCCCAAGUUCUUUGACCUUCUCAGCCCAGAACUGAGGGGCCACGCUGGGUUGAGGAGCAUUGAUGGCUCUGCAGGAGCAGCCUGUGGCACCUCCUCUGGUCUGGUGGGAGGGAGGGGAUCCCUCGCCGCGAUGUCGGGGGCAACCUUUGCAGAUAGUCCCUGUCCCCCCCUUGGCAGUGUGUCCCCCCGGCUGGUUUGGCCCCGAUUGCCAGCUGAGCUGCAGCUGUGGGAACGACGGGCAUUGCCAUCCUGUGACGGGGACGUGCAGCUGCCCCCCGGGCUGGACGGGCUACAACUGCCAGAGAGGUAUCGUAUUGUCAUCCUUGGGGCCUAAAAUUUGCUGAGCUGGGCAGGGCUGCGCUGUGAUUUGCUUCGCUGUCACCUUCGUGCUGGAAAAAUCUGAAAUCUGCCCCAUCCCUGCAAGUGUUUAAGGCCAGGCUGGAUGGGGCUCGGAGCAACCUGCUCUAGUGAUGUCCCUGCCCACCGUUGGAACUUGAUGAGCUUUAAGGUCCCUUCCAACUCUAACCAUUCUAUGAUUCUAUGAAAUCCUUUGGGUUUCUCCACUCUGUCCUGCCAGUGCCACUUGCUUUUCUGUGUGCAGAAUGAAUUCUCACCAAAUAUGCCCAAUGUAGCACCCGCUCUCACUUCCCUGAUGGGUUUUCUGGGGACCCACAGCCAUGUUUGUCCUCCUGACAGAGGGGCUGAUUGGGACAGGACAAGAGGAAACGGGCACAAACUUGACCAUAAGAAGUUCCACCUAAACACAAGGAGGAACUUCUUCCCUUUGAGGGUGGCAGAGCCCUGGCAGAGGCUGCCCAGGGAGGUGGUGGAGUCUCCAUCUCUGGAGAUGUUCACACCCCACCUGGACAUGUCCCUGUGGGACCUGCUCUGGGGUAGCAGGGGGUUGGAGGAGAUGAUCUCCAGAGGUCUCUUCCAACCCUAUAGCGUUCAGU